rnacentral:rRNA from 1 species
GACGACGCUGGCGGCGUGGAUUAGGCAUGCAAGUCGAACGGUAUCAUCCUUUCGGGGGUGAGAGAGUGGCGAACUGGUGAGUAACACGUAGGUUAUCUACCCUCAAGACGGGGACAACCCAGGGAAACUUGGGCUAAUACCGGAUGUGAGCAACUUUUAGUGUUUGAAAGGUGGCGUAAGCUGUCGCUUGGGGAUGAGCCUGCGUCCUAUUAGUUAGUUGGUGAGGUAACGGCUCACCUAGGCAAUGAUAGGUAGGCGGCCUUAACGGGUGGUCGCCCACACUGGGAUUGAGAUACGGCCCAGACUCCUACGGGAGGCAGCAGUCGAGAAUAGUCUACAAUGGUCGGAAGACUGAUAGUGCGACGCCGCGUGAACGAUGAAUCCCCCUCGGGGUGUAAAAGUUCUUUUAUAUGUGAGCAGUGCUUCUUAUAUUAACAGUAUGGGGAGAGAGAUAUUAGCAUAUGAAUAAGCAACGGCUAACUCCGUG